GACGAACGCUGGCGGCGUGCCUAAUACAUGCAAGUCGAACGCUUUUUCUUUCACCGGAGCUUGCUCCACCGAAAGAAAAAGAGUGGCGAACGGGUGAGUAACACGUGGGUAACCUGCCCAUCAGAAGGGGAUAACACUUGGAAACAGGUGCUAAUACCGUAUAACACUAUUUUCCGCAUGGAAGAAAGUUGAAAGGCGCUUUUGCGUCACUGAUGGAUGGACCCGCGGUGCAUUAGCUAGUUGGUGAGGUAACGGCUCACCAAGGCAACGAUGCAUAGCCGACCUGAGAGGGUGAUCGGCCACACUGGGACUGAGACACGGCCCAGACUCCUACGGGAGGCAGCAGUAGGGAAUCUUCGGCAAUGGACGAAAGUCUGACCGAGCAACGCCGCGUGAGUGAAGAAGGUUUUCGGAUCGUAAAACUCUGUUGUUAGAGAAGAACAAGGAUGAGAGUAAAAUGUUCAUCCCUU
rnacentral:rRNA from 1 species